rnacentral:rRNA from 1 species
AUUGAACGCUGGCGGCAGGCUUAACACAUGCAAGUCGAACGGGUGGCGGACGGGUGGGUAAUUCUUGGACACCUAGCUUAUCGAGGGAGAUAACUACGGGAAAAUGUAGCUAAUACCGCGUACCAUAGGUUGAGCCCACGUGGGAUUAGGUAGUUGGUGAGGUAAAGGCUCACCAAGCCGACGAUCCCUAGCUGGUCUGAGAGGCUGACCGGCCACACUGGGACUGAGACACGGCCCAGACUCCGACGGGAGGCAGCAGUGGGGAAUAUUGCGCAAUGGGGGAAACAUGACAGAGCCAUGCCGCGUGAAUGAAGAAGGCUUUCGGGUUGUAAAGGUCUUUCGGUAGCGAGGCGGUAACUACAGAAAAAGCAACGGCUAACUCCGUGCCAGCCGCCGCGGUAAUUC